CCUUACGGCCAUACCACCCUGACCAUGCCUGAUCUCAUCGGAUCUCAAAAAGCUAACCAGGGUUGGGCCUGGUCAGUACUUGGAUGGGAGACUGCAACAUUUAAAUCCUGCUUUUACAU
rnacentral:rRNA from 1 species